rnacentral:rRNA from 1 species
AAACUUUCAACAAUGGAUCUCUUGGCUCUCGCAUCGAUGAAGAACGCAGCGAAAUGCGAUAAGUAAUAUGAAUUGCAGAAUUCCGUGAAUCAUCAAAUCUUUGAACGCAAAUUGCACUUCUUGGUAUUCCGAGGAGUACACAUGCUUGAGGGUCAGUUGAAAAAAA